AUUGAACGCUGGCGGCAGGCUUAACACAUGCAAGUCGAGCGGGGUGAUGGUGCUUGCACUAUCACUUAGCGGCGGACGGGUGAGUAAUGCUUAGGAAUCUGCCUAUUAGUGGGGGACAACAUCUCGAAAGGGAUGCUAAUACCGCAUACGUCCUACGGGAGAAAGCAGGGGAUCACUUGUGACCUUGCGCUAAUAGAUGAGCCUAAGUCGGAUUAGCUAGUUGGUGGGGUAAAGGCCUACCAAGGCGACGAUCUGUAGCGGGUCUGAGAGGAUGAUCCGCCACACUGGGACUGAGACACGGCCCAGACUCCUACGGGAGGCAGCAGUGGGGAAUAUUGGACAAUGGGGGGAACCCUGAUCCAGCCAUGCCGCGUGUGUGAUGAAGGCCUUAUGGUUGUAAAGCACUUUAAGCGAGGAGGAGGCUUACCUAGUUAAUACCUGGGAUAAGUGGACGUUACUCGCAGAAUAAGCACCGGCUAACUCUGUGCCAGCCGCCGCCUGUAA
rnacentral:rRNA from 1 species